rnacentral:rRNA from 1 species
UGCUUUUGAAAGGUCAGCGGCGGACGGGUGAGUAACACGUGGGCAACCUGCCUGUAAGACUGGGAUAACUUCGGGAAACCGGAGCUAAUACCGGAUAAUAUAAGGAACCUCCUGGUUCUUUAUUGAAAGAUGGUUUCGGCUAUCACUUACAGAUGGGCCCGCGGCGCAUUAGCUAGUUGGUGAGGUAACGGCUCACCAAGGCGACGAUGCGUAGCCGACCUGAGAGGGUGAUCGGCCACACUGGGACUGAGACACGGCCCAGACUCCUACGGGAGGCAGCAGUAGGGAAUCUUCCACAAUGGACGAAAGUCUGAUGGAGCAACGCCGCGUGAGCGAUGAAGGCCUUCGGGUCGUAAAGCUCUGUUGUUAGGGAAGAACAAGUGCGAGAGUAACUGCUCGCACCUUGACGGUACCUAACCAGAAAGCCACGGCUAACUACGUGCCAGCAGCCGCGGUAAUACGUAGGUGGCAAGCGUUGUCCGGAAUUAUUGGGCGUAAAGCGCGCGCAGGUGGUCCUUUAAGUCUGAUGUGAAAGCCCACGGCUCAACCGUGGAGGGUCAUUGGAAACUGGGGGACUUGAGUGCAGAAGAGGAAAGUGGAAUUCCAAGUGUAGCGGUGAAAUGCGUAGAGAUUUGGAGGAACACCAGUGGCGAAGGCGAC